CUACGGGUUGCUCCAGUCGAGAAACUUUUACAAUGCGCGCAAGCGUGAUAGAGCAAGCCAGAGUGCUUUUCCGUAUUAGGAAAAGCUUUUGUGAGAUCUAAAAAUUCUUACGAAUAAGGACCGGGAGAGACUAGUGCCAGCCGCCGCGGUAAUACUAGCGGUCCAAGUCGCAGCCAUAUUUAUUAGGUCUAAAACAUCCGUAGCUUGUUAAAUAAGUCCUUUGUGAAAUCUGGCAUCUCAAGUGUCAGGCGAGCAUGGGAUACUAUUUAGCUUGGGACCGGGAGACGUGAGGAGUACGGUAAGAGUAGCGGUAAAAUGCGUUGAUCCUUAUUGGACUAACAAUAGCGAAGGCACCUUGCGAGAACGGAUCUGACAGUGAGGGAUGAAAGCUAGGGUCGCAAAACGGAUUAGAUACCCCCGUAGUC
rnacentral:rRNA from 1 species